rnacentral:lncRNA from 1 species
AGCGAGCGCUCGAGGGGGCGGCGCGGGGUUCGCGGAGGGGCCCCAAGGACGCGCCGCCGGCUUCGCCACGCCGAGCGCCCGGCCCGGACCCUGUUCCCUAAAGAUCAGGACGGAUGGGGAAAAGCGCCCUUCUUAGGUGAAAGCAUCAGCUCGUUUCUACGUGUCAGCACUGGGAGAAGAUGUGGGGUCAGCGUCUUCACCAGGGAGCUGGUGCGAGGAUCAGCCCGUGAGAUGACAGACUCGGCGCCCUGCCAGAUGCUGUAAAGCGUGGAACUGUGUCAUCGAUGGUUAAGGAGAAAACAGGGUUUUGCAAAGGCACAACUAGAAGGAUGAAGGUGGCUGAAUAUUUGUCUUCUGAGUGAUACGGACUUUCCUUGAAGAAUGGCGCAUUUACGAGUGUCAGCCUGCCACCCGUUACUGCGAUUAGGUUCUUCAGCAACCGAGGAGGAAUGAGGAGGACUCAGACGGAUUUCGAAGAAUGGCAUGACUAAUGUACAAACAAGAGUGAAAGGGAGUGUUGGAAAAACUCAGGGACACUGAAGACUGAAGUGGGUUGAAAACAAAUCAGAACGUGAGUUCUCCCACUUGAGUGCGAGCAGAAUUUGUUUUUCAGAAGUAAUUUUUAAGGAUUCACUUGGAGAAGGAAGAGGGAUUUUCCUUUACGCUUUUGGAUCGGAUGGCUCUGUGUUGCGAACGGUUUUCUCGCGGCCUUCAAGAAUUUGUUUGGUACCCACUUGUUCAAAACCCAAGGGCAAACAGCCAAGUCCCCUUAAAGCUGUCCGCCCGGGACUACGGGAGUCAGUUUGAAACGUCUUCGUUUUAAGAAGGUGGCAGAAUUACAUAAUUAUUCACAGCUCAUAAGAAAUUAAAAUACCUCUUCCAAAUAUGAAGUCGCGAGAUAACACAAACCACAAGUCCUAGACUCUCGGAGGGCGUGUGCCUCGUUUGUGCUCCCACACACAAACCCACAGCCGACCGUCUGCGCUGAGAGCACGUGGCCCCACUGAGAGCACGUGGCCACGCUGACCUCGCUUCCCUCGUGUUCCUCCGCACACAGCAGGGCUCUUGCCCAGGGCCUCCCUUGGCGACGCCGAGGGACCGAAGAUGCCAAAUGCUGGAGAGGCGGGAGGUCACCACAAGGCACCUGGGACCACAGACGCACUCUCUUCCACUCAUGGCCAGGGUGCACGAGAAAACAGCAUAGGCACAGAGGAAAAUUUGUAAAAACCUGAACUAACUGGCUCGAGGCCUUGGCCCAUCCAAGCGCAGCCCGAAGCUGCGAGUCGCUCAAGGCUGCUUCAGAUCCGGGCGCGUUUUAUCUGCGGUGGGAAUUUUGGAGAUAAUUCAUCCUGAGACGGUUCAUCUCAUCUCAGCCCAGUUUUCAGCAAUUCCUCUGAGACGGGCCGUCCUUUCCCAGUGGACAAAGCGUGUUGACUGGUAUUUAUGGCGAUGCCCAAUGGGAGGCAGAGUCACAGAUUUCUCCCAAAUCUCGGAGCCAAAGCUGGGCUCUGAAGUUUUUCUUCUACGUGCUUAGAGGCAUUCGGGGACAUGGCAGAGAAAUUAGGGUGCAAAGGAUUACUCAUCAUAUCUUUAAGAUGCCGCCUUGCGCUGCUCUGCAAUUAGAAAACGUGUUCCCUCCCGAGGCUGGUGCUGGUCGGGGGAAGGCUGGAUGGCACAGCAGCAAGAUAAUUAGGCACAACAGAAUUAACUCCAGAGUAAGUGUCAGCCUCAGUUGCAAUCCUCCUCAUUUCAUUAUACUCAGCCCUGUAAUGUCUGUUUUUUUGUUUUUUUGGUUUCGCUAAAUCAAUUUUAAGCAGCACCAAAAAACACCAGGAAGGUGGUAAGAAAGUGAAAAUAAGUGAGAAGAGUGUAUAUACUCCAUCGGGCCCGUCUGGAAAAUGUUUAAUUGGAUUCGCUCCACGCCAACACCACUGUGGCGGCAUCGCCGUCUCACGUGUGGGUUCACCCCCGGCAAGCUCAGUGUGUGGGGUGCCUCCCUCCCCUCCUCUCCCCUCCCCUCCAGUUCCACUGUGUCCACUGUGCUGCAACCGAGCAGGUCCUUAGGGGUCCUUCCUGGGACAGGCCCCUCCCCGCCCAUGUCCUCCACCUGCCUCGUGUCUGUAGAAAAACUUUAGCCUCCUGGGCCCUCACCUCCUUCCAAAGAAUGCAUUUAAUCAGAGAAGUGAGAAAUGCAGAAAGAAAGGACAAUAGUCAAGCCAGACAAAAGCCAUUCAACAAACUCCAGGGCCUUGCGUUCCUCGUCGGGGGCUGUAGAUAAUAUUCUGAGCCAUUUCCUCGAGCUGUUUUGCAGAGGCUGAAACCCCCACCAGGUGGAGGAAGUUAACUGUACGC